rnacentral:tRNA from 1 species
CCAUUAAGAAGCUAUGAACCAGCACUAGCCUUUUAAGCUAGAGAAAGAGGAACACACAUCCUCCUUAAUGGU